CACACUAUCAUUAACUGAAUCCAUAGGUUAAUGAGGCGAACCGGGGGAACUGAAACAUCUAAGUACCCCGAGGAAAAGAAAUCAACCGAGAUUCCCCCAGUAGCGGCGAGCGAACGGGGAGCAGCCCAGAGCCUGAAUCAGUGUGUGUGUUAGUGGAAGCGUCUGGAAAGGCGCGCGAUACAGGGUGACAGCCCCGUACACAAAAAUGCACAUGCUGUGAGCUCGAUGAGUAGGGCGGGACACGUGGUAUCCUGUCUGAAUAUGGGGGGACCAUCCUCCAAGGCUAAAUACUCCUGACUGACCGAUAGUGAACCAGUACCGUGAGGGAAAGGCGAAAAGAACCCCGGCGAGGGGAGUGAAAAAGAACCUGAAACCGUGUACGUACAAGCAGUGGGAGCACGCUUAGGCGUGUGACUGCGUACCUUUUGUAUAAUGGGUCAGCGACUUAUAUUCUGUAGCAAGGUUAACCGAAUAGGGGAGCCGAAGGGAAACCGAGUCUUAACUGGGCGUUAAGUUGCAGGGUAUAGACCCGAAACCCGGUGAUCUAGCCAUGGGCAGGUUGAAGGUUGGGUAACACUAACUGGAGGACCGAACCGACUAAUGUUGAAAAAUUAGCGGAUGACUUGUGGCUGGGGGUGAAAGGCCAAUCAAACCGGGAGAUAGCUGGUUCUCCCCGAAAGCUAUUUAGGUAGCGCCUCGUGAAUUCAUCUCCGGGGGUAGAGCACUGUUUCGGCAAGGGGGUCAUCCCGACUUACCAACCCGAUGCAAACUGCGAAUACCGGAGAAUGUUAUCACGGGAGACACACGGCGGGUGCUAACGUCCGUCGUGAAGAGGGAAACAACCCAGACCGCCAGCUAAGGUCCCAAAGUCAUGGUUAAGUGGGAAACGAUGUGGGAAGGCCCAGACAGCCAGGAUGUUGGCUUAGAAGCAGCCAUCAUUUAAAGAAAGCGUAAUAGCUCACUGGUCGAGUCGGCCUGCGCGGAAGAUGUAACGGGGCUAAACCAUGCACCGAAGCUGCGGCAGCGACGCUUAUGCGUUGUUGGGUAGGGGAGCGUUCUGUAAGCCUGUGAAGGUGUACUGUGAGGUAUGCUGGAGGUAUCAGAAGUGCGAAUGCUGACAUAAGUAACGAUAAAGCGGGUGAAAAGCCCGCUCGCCGGAAGACCAAGGGUUCCUGUCCAACGUUAAUCGGGGCAGGGUGAGUCGACCCCUAAGGCGAGGCCGAAAGGCGUAGUCGAUGGGAAACAGGUUAAUAUUCCUGUACUUGGUGUUACUGCGAAGGGGGGACGGAGAAGGCUAUGUUGGCCGGGCGACGGUUGUCCCGGUUUAAGCGUGUAGGCUGGUUUUCCAGGCAAAUCCGGAAAAUCAAGGCUGAGGCGUGAUGACGAGGCACUACGGUGCUGAAGCAACAAAUGCCCUGCUUCCAGGAAAAGCCUCUAAGCAUCAGGUAACAUCAAAUCGUACCCCAAACCGACACAGGUGGUCAGGUAGAGAAUACCAAGGCGCUUGAGAGAACUCGGGUGAAGGAACUAGGCAAAAUGGUGCCGUAACUUCGGGAGAAGGCACGCUGAUAUGUAGGUGAAGCGACUUGCUCGUGGAGCUGAAAUCAGUCGAAGAUACCAGCUGGCUGCAACUGUUUAUUAAAAACACAGCACUGUGCAAACACGAAAGUGGACGUAUACGGUGUGACGCCUGCCCGGUGCCGGAAGGUUAAUUGAUGGGGUCAGCGCAAGCGAAGCUCUUGAUCGAAGCCCCGGUAAACGGCGGCCGUAACUAUAACGGUCCUAAGGUAGCGAAAUUCCUUGUCGGGUAAGUUCCGACCUGCACGAAUGGCGUAAUGAUGGCCAGGCUGUCUCCACCCGAGACUCAGUGAAAUUGAACUCGCUGUGAAGAUGCAGUGUACCCGCGGCAAGACGGAAAGACCCCGUGAACCUUUACUAUAGCUUGACACUGAACAUUGAGCCUUGAUGUGUAGGAUAGGUGGGAGGCUUUGAAGUGUGGACGCCAGUCUGCAUGGAGCCGACCUUGAAAUACCACCCUUUAAUGUUUGAUGUUCUAACGUGGACCCGUGAUCCGGGUUGCGGACAGUGUCUGGUGGGUAGUUUGACUGGGGCGGUCUCCUCCUAAAGAGUAACGGAGGAGCACGAAGGUUGGCUAAUCCUGGUCGGACAUCAGGAGGUUAGUGCAAUGGCAUAAGCCAGCUUGACUGCGAGCGUGACGGCGCGAGCAGGUGCGAAAGCAGGUCAUAGUGAUCCGGUGGUUCUGAAUGGAAGGGCCAUCGCUCAACGGAUAAAAGGUACUCCGGGGAUAACAGGCUGAUACCGCCCAAGAGUUCAUAUCGACGGCGGUGUUUGGCACCUCGAUGUCGGCUCAUCACAUCCUGGGGCUGAAGUAGGUCCCAAGGGUAUGGCUGUUCGCCAUUUAAAGUGGUACGCGAGCUGGGUUUAGAACGUCGUGAGACAGUUCGGUCCCUAUCUGCCGUGGGCGCUGGAGAACUGAGGGGGGCUGCUCCUAGUACGAGAGGACCGGAGUGGACGCAUCACUGGUGUUCGGGUUGUCAUGCCAAUGGCACUGCCCGGUAGCUAAAUGCGGAAGAGAUAAGUGCUGAAAGCAUCUAAGCACGAAACUUGCCCCGAGAUGAGUUCUCCCUGACUCCUUGAGAGUCCUGAAGGAACGUUGAAGACGACGACGUUGAUAGGCCGGGUGUGUAAGCGCAGCGAUGCGUUGAGCUAACCGGUACUAAUGAACCGUGAGGCUUAACCUUACAACGCCGAAG
rnacentral:rRNA from 1 species